ensembl:lncRNA
AAAAGAUCAGCACUGAGAAAAUAAAAAUGGCCAAUAGGAUUCCCCACAAAACAGCACACUUCCAUUCUUAGAUGUCUGCACAUCUGUUGCACUUCACAUUUGAUAUGCCGAGAUGAUGUCCACCAUGUUAAAAGGUCACCUGACAUUGGUGUACAUUCAACUGCAAAGGAGCUCUCAGCACCGCAUUCCAACUUUGCAUUUCUUCAAACAGUGGCACAGAGGAGGUCCUGGUCUAUGUCUUGGUUUUCAAAAUGAUACACAGCGGCCAUGACAGUCGAUGUCAGGAGAACCAAGGACAUAAACUAAUACCACUCUGUUGUGGAAGUCACACACCGAUGACACGGCACGCUCGCUCUGCUACGGCAGUACACGCAGAUACAUGUUACCAACACACCUGUAGGACUCUUGCCUGUUUCCCAUUGGAGAUCUAAACGUACAUGCCAGCUGUCUGUGUUAUCUAAAUCUCUCUUAUCUCGUACCUACAACCUUAAAACUUGCCAUUAGGAAUUCCCCAAAGAUAUUACGCUUUAGAUUGGGACUUCCUUAUCUCUCUAGACCCUCGUCAGUUCCUCAAGCCUGAAUCAAUACGACUUGCAGACUGAAUUGCUUCUAUGUGCUUUUGUACUAACAUAGGCGGGCCAAAAAAAGUAUCUAUCCCUGAGGGCAAUGGCUUUCUCCUUGAAGUGUCUUUAGUGGUUCUCCAGAAUAGUUUGGCUCCUCGUCACACUGUGGCUGAGAUUUACUUCCUGGAAGUCCAUUUCAGGACAGCCGCCGGUGGCAAGGGUGCGUGGGAGGAGGGGGGGAACAACAUUUCAAGAUUCAGUUUUAUCUUGAGAGACAUCCUUAUAAUUCAAAACGCACAACUGCUGCAGAUCGUAGUUCAGUUUUGUCUGGAUACAGGACUGAAGAUGAGAUCAGAGAUUUAAAUGAAGAUUAUAACAUCAAGGAAAUUCCUAAAGUGGAGAAGGGGACAGCUCUCUAUAAACCCCUCGGGCUUGCGUUUUCUUUGCUGCAUUGCAUCAGGCAGCGCAGCCAUUUUGACAACGCCAAAAGCUGAAGACGACAAUUAUGGCCGAGGCGAAUGUUAAUCCCUAGACAAACACACAGCCACCACACACAUACACACCUACACACCCGCUCAAACACACUCCUACAAAUACAUUCGUCCUUUUUGUUUUCUUCCGGAGCUUCAGACCGUCCGGUGGGUGCCGGUGGUGAAGGUGAAACGCACCACUGUGGUAGCGCAGCUGGUUCAAUAUUGUGACAUGUGAUCUAAGGCUGGCACAAAGAGGCCCUUUAAACAAGAACUGGGACACAAAAGCCUGGGAGAACGGGGCGCUCAUCCCGUAGCUAUGCUGCUGACCCCACAGCUCACAAGGUGCACACACACACACACACACACACACACACACACACACACACACACACACACACACACACACACACACACAAACACAUGCAGGCCCAUGAACACACACAUGCAUGCCCACACACAUACAUGCCCAAACAGAC